GUAAACAGUAAAACAUGUUAAUCAUUGCUCUCUGCAAUAAAAAUUAAAGUCAAUGUAAAAUAUUUUUUUAUUCUGCAUCUGUGAUUGGUUGUUGUACAUUACUCCAGUCGGAACAGCAAGAAAUAAACGUCUGUUUAAAUUUAUUACAAAGCUUAUAAACAAUGAAUUAUGAAUUGUGUAUUUUGAGUUAUACUGUGGUGUAUAUACUCAGGUUUCAUAUAUUAAUCUACACAGUUGAGUUGUAUUGAUUGUGUAUUUGUACAGUAAUUGAGUUAGAGUGUAAGAGUGAGUAACGCUGGCUGUGUGUCUCUGUGCUGGUCAGUGGUGUGGGUUCAGUACUCGGCUGAUGGGACGAGGACACUUCGUGUUUGACCGGCGGUGGGACAGGAUGAGGCUCGCGCUGCACUGCAUGGUGGAGAAACACGUCAACGCCCAGAUGUGGAGGAAAGUCCCCCUGGUGGCCGACUGUGUGGUCAGCUCGUCCCCCCUGCGAUACCCCGCCAGCCCCACCCCUGCCCUCCCCCACGGACUGGACGGGGUUUCCGUGGUGUCGUACUCAACCCCCUUCUCUCACAACGGGACGGGGGUGUUCUGCAUCCGGGACCCGGACCCCGGCCCCGCCCCCAGGCUCCCUCAGACUAAAGCGGCUAAACCGGCGAGAACCGGUUUAGGAGAGGGGGUGGCGGCUAAAAGACGGAAGCCGCCUCCCACCUCCGAUACCACCGCAGCGUAUCGUAAGAACGGGAACGGCGGCUACCACCCGCCCCCAGGCCCCGCCCACAUCAGUAACGGGGCGGCGGCCCUGAGCGUACGGGCUAAGCCCCGGUCGGGGGACUCGGACCGGUACUCGGGCGCGGAGCUGCCCCUCCCCCCGGCGCUGACCGGGGACCACGGCGGCGUCUCGUCCCUCAGCCCGCUGCCCUGCGGCCCCGCCCACUCACGCAAACGCAGGACCUCGGGCCCCGGGGACCGGCCCGCCAAGAUCUCCAGGACCACAGGACUCGCCGGGAUCUUCAGAAAGAACAGCGCCGCCCUGCUGUCCUCCUCCACCUCCACCUCCACUUCCUCCUCCACGCCCGAGACAACGUCUCACAACUCCCUCUCCAGAGCGCCUAAAGUGCAUCACUGACAGCGAGUGAGAUGGAGAGAGAGAGUCGAGCAGCUUCACAGUGGAGUCCUUCCUCCACACCUCCACCUUCAUCCUUCCCAUUCCCUGACCACGCACCCCCCCAGCUCCCUCCCCCAGCUUCCUGCUUCACGAUCUUCAUGAUGAGGGUCUCCUGGAUUCUGAUCUGAGUUUAUGGAGGUUUAUGGAGGAGGGGGUUCAGCAGCAGUAGGUACCCACCCCUGACCCACUGACCCACUGCCCCCACGCCACCGUGUGCUGCAUCUAACCACUCUUCUGGAGGUGUGGAGCACCAUCACACGGAGGGAGGGAGGGAUGGAGAACAGGUGUGAAAAACAGCUGGUAAAAUGUUUAGUGACGCAUCAUGAAUCACACAUUCAGAUACGACUCCGCCUUUCAGGAACCGCUGUGGAUUUUUAUUUUUUACUUUUACAUUUAGUUUAUUUUUGUUUUGUUUAAACAUCAGCGGUUUAUUCUGAUCUGGAUUAUAAUGAUCUGGAUUAUGAUGAUCUGGUUUAUGAUGAUCUGGUUUAUGAUGAUCUGGAUAAUUAUGAUCUGGAUUAUGAUUAUUUGGAUUAUGAUGAUUUGGAUUAUGAUGAUCUGGUUUAUGAUGAACUGGUUUAUGAUGAACUGGUUUAUGAUGAUCUGGUUUAUGAUGAUCUGGAUUAUGAUGAUCUGGAUUAUUAUGAACUGGUUUAUGAUGAUCUGGAUUAUGAUGAUCUGGAUUAUUCUGACCUGGAUUAUGAUGAUCUGGUUUAUUCUGAUCUGGAUUAUUCUGAUCUGGAUUAUUCUGAUCUGGAUUAUAAUGAUCUGGUUUAUGGAUUCUGGAAGUUUCUGAUCUAAAGUGCACUUAAAGCUCCAUCACGCCUGGACUUCAGGCUCCUGAGGGAAUCAGAAUAAAGUUUCAUUAAGGGAAAAUUUUAUAAAAAGU
rnacentral:lncRNA from 1 species